rnacentral:lncRNA from 1 species
UUCUAUUCCUCGUGUGCAAACGUGGGCGACUGAAAUCGAAACGCUUUUCGCGAUGACGAUAGCUUGGUGUGACGAAAUCGCGCGAAAAUGUGCUUUAAAUCAAGUGAACGAUGAAAUUAGAGGGAGUACGUACGACCAAAAGAAUAUCUAUCUAUUCUCUAUCUCCCAAAUUGCGAGUUUACUUUGACAAAGAGGGUGAAGCUGGCAACCUAUCCUCAGUGUAAAAACAAUAAAGUGCUCCUGGAAGUAGCAAUAAAAAAGCUACUACAACAAGACGAAGUCCUAAUAAAAA